rnacentral:lncRNA from 1 species
AUUAUGUGGUUCCACUGCCUCUGAGUUCCCUCUGCUGUGAGAUCAGCCAGUCCCAUACAGGGACCACUCCAUUACCUCAUGGAGAACACUGGGUCUGAUUUCUGAGGACAGCACCUCAUGCGUUUCAUAAUAUUUACUUUCUCGCCCUACCUCUCAGUGUAUCCAACACACACUGCCUUAUCUCAGACCCUGCGUCAGAAACACUGCAUCCCGGAGGAGAGUGCCCUUGCCAAGCCUUCCUGCCGUUACCAGGGGCAGCAGCCGUCUGUGCCACCGAAAUACAACAUGUACCCCAGGGACGGCCACGUGCCGUGUGACCUACCCCGAGAAGAUAGAAACUGCCUGGUGUUUCGGCCCCAUCUCAUCGCGCCACAGUUCCUGUUUGUUUUUCCACUGCCCUGUUCCAAGAUGUCCAUGGAGGGGCCUAUGUGGACAGUCUGCGUGUAUCCCCAUCACCCCACACACCCGCCUGCUGCCCACACCGGCGUGGAUCCGGAAGUGGGGUUGGGGUGAGGAGACCCAGGAUGACACGAACACAAUGCCCGGGGACAACUCGGUGCAGGACGGAGACCCAGGGCAGGGCUGCAGGGGAGCACCAACGACCAAGAGGAGACCAGAUGAGUUUUCAAGGCAGUCCUCACACACCCAGGACACAUGUCAUCCUUUGCCUCGUGCUUUCUGCAAUGCCGCUGCUCGCAUUCAUCUUCUUACUGACCCUUGCCAUAAUAUCCCUUCCUGAGCAUCACCUUUCCCCAUUCACCACCCACUCAGUGCUUUCUCUGAGAUGCCCCUCCCUAGGAAGUGGCUUUGCUUUCUGCUUGGCAAGCUUCCCUUUGAGUUAUAUCCAGAUGGCUACCGUUAGUUUUCCUUUGCUCCACGUCUACCUUGUGCCAGACUCAGCCCCUGGUCAGGUCAACCACAGAAAAUCCUACCUCUUCCAAAAUGAAGUUGCAAGACAUUCUGCCAGAACAGUCACACUCAAUGAAGGGACCAGCGGUGUAUCUGAGUGUGAUGUCAUUGAAGCCAGAUGGAAGGCUCAGGAAUCCCCGAAUCCCAGCUAGAUGCAGUAAAAGUAUUUAGUACUGACUGUUGAGACUGAUUAAGAAGGUGGGGAUAGGAAGGAGGAGGAAGAGAAAGAGCCUCAGAAUUGAAUUGUCCCUGAAUACAGAAUGGAAUCAUUGAGAUUUUUUUCUCCAAUUAAAUAUGCAUCUCAUUCUGCCACAUUGCAAUGCUUCACUCUAAACAUUUCCAUUUGGGGCCCAAGGCUUUUCUUCACGGGUUCUGAGCCACAGGCUCCUGGACGGUGAGGUAAGUGACAUUAGCCAGUACCAUCUCAGUGAUGUACAGUGAUCUCAGAGCCCAGUGCUGAGUGGAUCCACCCAGAAGCCCCUAAGAUUUGUCCUAGAUUCGUCCCUAUGACCACUGUACCCCCAGGGCUCCCCAGCCCAGCUAGAAAUAUUAAUUCCAGCUGCACAAUAUUAAUCUAGACCUCUACAAAAACAAAACAGACCCUGGGGAUUGACCAAAUUAAGAUUUGGUGGCCAGGGAUUUAGCUCAAUGGUGCCACCGCCUGCCUCCCAAGUGGAAGGUCCCAAGUUUGAUCCCUGGUACAAAAAAAAAAAGAUUUGGUGAGACCAUGAAACUCUCUUUUAAAAAACUGUUUUUGUUUUACUACAGAGUAUGGCUUUCUGGAAACACACUAUACCUAGAAAGUGUAGCCCUCUUUUCUUUUUGCAUUUAGGGGUUAGCUAGGCUGGAUGGAAGAUACCAGGUUUCCACAUGGGAGCUUUGGUAGGUUUCAGAUUCAGUUCAUUAUUUAACUAAUAACCUUGCCAAGAAGUACAAAAAAAAUAUAAACCUGGCCAAUACAGCACGUAUGUUAUCCGAUCCCUCUUCUUUGUUCCAUCGCCUGUACUUACUGGACUAGGAACUACAGAAAUACAUCCCAGUCUUUGUUCAUAGCCUACCAGACACAGCAAUCCAAGCUAAGUAGACUGGAAGCUAAUCGCAAAGCUGCCUUAAUAGUGAAUGGAUAUAAAGUUCUGCUCAUUCAGACCCAUUAGACCUCCCAAGAAUCUGUGACCAAGCUGUCUGCCUGCUGAAUUCAGAUGGGGUAGACAAUCUUACACUUCUGUCAAGUGCAAGAUUAAUCCUCAUGUCCCAUAAGUAUCUCUAAGCAUACCUCAUUGUUCUUUUCUCCCUGUGGUCUAUGCUUUUUCAGCUCUGACACCUUGCUGUUUAGCCUCUGCUAAAGUAAAGUAUGCUGGCUUCCUGCGCCCCUCCCUGGCCCAUCCCCUCAGCCUCUGCACCCUGUCAUGUGCUCGCUCUGGCUUCCCUGUCUUUGCUUAGACCCUCACCAUGAAACCUACUCUAGAUAUUCCUGGAUGACCCUCUAGUCCUCAUUCUCCCAAACGCGCCGUUCAUUGGCAAGGCAUGGGAAGACCCAUCCUCUGGUCCUCCAAGGUGUCCAGCAGUUAGAAUGGCUUAAGGUAGGGAGGAGGAUGUUGGCAAGAGCUCUCCCCUUGGCAAUGAAGCUGUGCAAAGAGCAGAUGUCGACUUAACUGUUCUGAAGUUGAACGAUGUGACUCCU